CUGGGCUUAUGAGCUUGUCCAGUAAGACGCUUCUGUACGGGACCUGAAACUUUUUGCAUGGGACCCAGGCUGGGAGUGUGCAUCGAGACGGGCCCGUCAUAACAACAGUCUGGGCAGUGAUGGUGGUGACAGCAGCAGAGGCCAUGGCCGCAGCCAUGGAGACACCUGUAGCAGGCCUUAGAUGAGGCCUUCCUGAGAAACGACGUUGCUCUUGCAUGUUGUCCCUCACAGCUCCGAAUCGCUCUGCAUGCACACACAUCUGCUUCACUCGUCUGGUUUAGUGUCGAUUCUGUGUGUUUCCCUAAACAGGGCUUACACAAUGUUUAUGGGUCACUCUUGGAAUGCCCCUGUACUGCUGAGAAACUGCCUGGAAUCAGAAGCUCAUUUUUUGAAUGGGAUUGAAUGCUUGGGAAGACCUGAGGUGACCUUCAGGGCACCAUUCAGAAAUCACACAGAAGGCAAGCAGAAGGCAGGUUCUUUGAGACCUGGGAAAAGACUAGACCUCAGCUACCUGACUUAGAGAAAGCCUCAGCUCAUCUUUCAGAAACAUUUCCCCUGCUUGCGUGGUGAAGAGAAGAUGGAAUUCAUGGCACAUUGUCUUUUUUUAUGCCAUUUCUCUAAGGAACUUGAAGCCUCAAUUUAGUGGCAAAAGUGCUUUUUCCUUUGCAGGCCGAAAGUUUAAGAUGCAGAAAAGAACAGAAGGAUUCCUUAAGCUCUGCUUUUUUCAGAGGAUUGGAGCAUAAGAAUUAGAAGAGGGCCACUCUGUAAACCCCACCAACAGCCUAUGGCUAGGAAGGUCACAGGUCCUAGGAGGCAUAUACUUCUGAUGUUUCAUUAAGAGGACAUCUCAUCAAA